UUGACUCUCCCUGCCGGCCCCUGGAGGUUGGGCUCCCCCUUUGAGUCUGGUCCCUCCCAAGGUUUCUUCCUUCUUGAGAGUUUUUCCUUGCCCCUGUCGCCUCUGGCUUACUCACUGGGGGCUUUGGGUGGGGAUGCUGUAAAGCGCUUGGAGACGAUGUAAUGUUAUGAUAAUGCGCUAUACAAAAAUACAUUCGUUGUGGUUCCUCCGGGGUCUUUGGCUGGUUAGCCAGACCUGACGUCGGCACACGCGGAGUCUCUCGCGCCUUUGAACCAGUGACGGCUCAAUUAGGAUCAUCUUUCGAAGAAAUCUCCCCCCCUUCCCCCCGAGUAAUCUGCCUGGCAUCUCAUCAACAGAGGAGGAUAUUACGGCCCACGGCAGAGCGCAGAGCGCUGCAGUCAGCCGGGGCCACAUCCCAGGAAGCGUAAGGGCAGGGAGCAUCCCGAACAACGUUCCAGUGCGCGGAUGUACAAUUUACUAUUAUGGAUGUACAGUUACUGACGCUCUUCAGCCUAAAUGCAUGUCUGUUGAGCUGCGGGAGGAGACUUGCACUCGCACAACUCGACAUGCAGACUCCGCACGCGCGCAGCGCGAAGCUGAGGAAGGAGAAGCUACACUUGGAGGCGUGAAGCUGAAGUUAAGCCCUCUGAACCUCCGUGGAUCUUUAUUACCUCGUACAUGUGGUAUGAUACAGUGCCUUGUGAUGUCGCGGUGACAGGCUCUGCCCACACCGUUCUGCUGAUACCCUCGGAAUGUUCUCUGGAAGGACACCCAGAAGCGUGCGGGCCAUCGCAGGAAGGAUGAUCAAGAGCGGCCAGAUGAAGGACGUCGGCUGAUUGCGUAGGUACGGCCGCUCCUGCUGGUCGUCGACAAGGCUGCGGGAGCGUGCAGCGCUGGGGCGAUUCAUCACGGAGAUGCUGAUGGGAAGCCGGGGAUGGGGUCGGCGUCCUCUGCGUAACCCUGCGUCACCUUGCGUCACCCUGGGCCCGGCCAUUCUGGUUAAGAACCACUUGGACUCCAGCUGCCGUUUGCAUUCGUAUUCUGCUGAGACUGCAUAGAGGUUAGGAAAGGAUGUGUGUGCAUGAGGGAAGAAUCGGUGUCAUUCUCAGUGAUGAGAGUGAAAUGUGUUUUCCAGGUACAUUAGUAUAUUCAUAUUGGAGUGUUAAGAAAUAAAAAAAUACAUAAAGUCUGUAA